rnacentral:lncRNA from 1 species
GACAAAACAAUCCUUCCAGGCCUGGGAUCCAAGGACACUCUCUGCCUCAGGCCCCAAAAAUUAUAAACAAAAGUGAAUCAGGGACGGGGGAGUGAACUGAGGGUUUCUGACUUCGUUACCUGAAGCUGUAAUUGGAGAAUUAACCCUUGAUAUGCAAAUAAACCAAACUUACAUCUGUCUGAAAAACUCCUGACCAUCAUCCAUUUUGGAUGGAGCCCCCUGGGGAGGCUUCAUCUGCCUGAAAUGUAUCUGAAGGCCCUUCACCACUUUUACCUUUUUAACUUUGUCUGGCCUCUGUUUCUAGGUGAGCCUGAAAAAAGCAUCAGAAGCAGCCCCAUGGGUCCCAUCAGCACAGAGCUCACGGAGGGUGCACCCACAGGGAGUGGGAGAAGCGUCUCAGAAAGGAGCUCUGUGCUUUGGGGAACCUGCAGUAAUGCCUCCAUCCGUGCUCCAGAUGAUCCUGCAGACUUGGAGAGGCCUUGUCAGAGCUCAUCAGGGUUUGCAGAUGACUGGCUGCCAUACAGCAACCAGAGGUGAGUGGAAAUAUUACAGACACACAGGGAAAUCUUCUUUCAGACUAAUCCCCAUGAAUCAUUUUGUUUGCAUUCAUGACCUCUUUUAUAGAUGAUAAUAUAUAUAUAUAUAUUAUAUAUUUGGUAGAAAAACACUUCCUUCUAAAUAAGUUUGAAAAACAAACAUGUCCUAAUUACUCAUGUAAAUAUUCUCAUUUGGGUAUUUAUGCAAAUAUACUUGCCCAUGUGAGCUGGUAUAUCAAACUGCAAUGAAUAUUUAUUUUCUUGAGAAAACAUGGAAGCUAAAAAAACCUUUUUGUCCAACUUCCCUAAAUAUGACAGCACUUUUGUUGUUAUCAUUCAGCAGUGGCUGAAUUUGUUAUUAAUAAACCACAAGGUAAAUUAUGAUUAUGUGUGCA